rnacentral:pre_miRNA from 1 species
UUAACUGAAAUUUCUAUGUAGUUGGUACGUUUGCGUACGUCUGCGCUAGGGUCGUUGUUCCACUGCAAACAAAUUUGAGCUA